UAUGAUAUUUACAGUGGGACGCGUAGUUUAAAAAAGGGUACAUCUCUGAUGAUAUUUACAGUGGGACGCGUGGUGUUAAAAAAGGGUACAUCUCUUAUGAUAUUUACAGUGGGACGCGUAGUUUAAAAAAGGGGUACAUAUCUGAUGAUAUUUACAGUGGGACGCGUAGUGUUAAAAAAGGGUCAAUCUCUGAUGAUAUUUACAGUGGGACGCGUAGUUUAAAAAAAGGGUACAUCUCUGAUGAUAUUUACAGUGGGACGCGUGGUGUUAAAAAAGGGUACAUCUCUGAUGAUAUUUACAGUGGGACGCGUGGUGUUAAAAAGGGUACAUCUCUGAUGAUAUUUACAGUGGGACGCGUAGUGUUAAAAAAGGGUACAUCUCUGAUGAUAUUUACAGUGGGACGCGUGGUGUUAAAAAAGGGUACAUCUCUGAUGAUAUUUACAGUGGGACGCGUGGUGUUAAAAAGGGUACAUCUCUGAUGAUAUUUACAGUGGGACGCGUAGUGUUAAAAAAGGGUACAUCUCUGAUGAUAUUUACAGUGGGACGCGUGGUGUUAAAAAAGGGUACAUCUCUGAUGAUAUUUACAGUGGGACGCGUGGUGUUAAAAAAGGGUACAUCUCUGAUGAUAUUUACAGUGGGACGCGUGGUGUUAAAAAAGGGUACAUCUCUGAUGAUAUUUACAGUGGGACGCGUGGUGUUAAAAAAGGGGUACAUCUCUGAUGAUAUUUACAGUGGGACGCGUGGUGUUAAAUGACUGGCACGUCGCAGGAAGCACCACCGGGUACGACAGGACCCUAGGUAUAAUUUGCUUUCAGGAGCCUGUACAUUAUCACUUUCUCUGCGUCUCCCUGCCUGAUAUGUGCUUUAGCUGGUUUGAUUCUCAGGCAUUGUGCUUGAGUGGCAUUUAAAAGAAACAGGUAUGUUGGUACUAUAGUGAUUAGUACUAUAGCGAUUAGUACUAUAGUACUAUAGUGAUUAGUACUAUAGUACUAUAGUGAUUAGUACUAUAGUGAUUAGUACUAUAGUACUAUAGUGAUUAGUACUAUAGUACUAUAGUGAUUCGUACUAUAGUACUAUAGUGAUUCGUACUAUAGUACUAUAGUGAUUCGUAAUAUAGUACUAUAGUGAUUUCCUCCUCUGAGACUUAGGUACUUUCAUGUUUAGACAAUGCUUGUGUCAGCAUUAAUCUAUCAUGACCAAUGAUUUUCUCUCCACCUAUUGAAAUAUAUCAUUUGGAUAAACGUGUCAACACAGCUGUGUCUAAUGUGAGACGACUUCAGGCUUUUCACACAAUCAUUAUGAAAGUAACUAAAAGCUUCACGGUCAA